AGACUAGAAGAGUAGGGUUAAGGCAGGGCUCGAAACCUGCAGGUUCUCUUUAGUAGAGCAGGUCAUACGAUAGAAAAUGCAGGACCCCAUGCAAAGCCUUUGUGCUUCUAGGAUCCCCUCGCUACAUGGACAAGGCUCAGGGUACCUCCCCUUAGACCAGGUUUCCCUGUAGGCCUGCUGAAGGGUCUGGGAGUCAGCCGGCUCUCAGAACUGGGCAAAAGGCAGUGCGUGACCUGGAAGCAGUUCUAAGGGCGAGCAGGAAGGGCAGGUGCACUCACUUGAUAUGCUGGAGCCUGUGGUUUCCAGACAGUGCUGUGGCAAUGCAUAUCGCCCCGUCCAUCCCCAGGGAAUUCUCUUGCAGACUAAGUGGAAAAGAGAUGCAGACACACGGUGAGCCAUCAGGGCAGAAGGAAAACACCCAGGGAAGCAACACUGCAUUGUCUGGGGGCAGUAACCCAGGCAGAUGUGUCCACAAGUGCCGUGGCAACUCCAGGUGGGAGUUGACCCUGGAGACAGGUGUCUACGAGUAGCCAGAUUGUCCCACCCAAGUGCAAUGGAGGAUGUAAGACCAUAAAUGCAGAUGUGAGUGACUUCUGACUGAAGCUAAGCAGACUCAACAAACCCAGCUGCAGUGGAAUGUGGACUAUAAUAAAAGUCUGAUUAUAUUCAGAAGGAGAUAGCUACAGAAGAAAUCAGGAGCAUUUUAUCCCACCAGGGAGGACCCGGCAGAGAAUUCUGCUGCUCCAGGACGCAGGCCCUGGGCAGCCAUUCAAGGAUGGCACCCAAGACGGGACACAGCUGCUCUGGAAAGGUCUCUGGCCAGCAGUGUGAGAGGAGGGACUGAGGUGGAGGCUGCCACGGGGAUGGAGGAGUCUUAGAACCUGCUCCAAAUGAAGUAUGGAUAUUAUGUCCAGAUGCUACCCAGGGGUGAAUCAUGGGAAUCAGGGAAGAACAGACAGGCCCUGGGGAUGUGAAGGUGACCAAGUUAGAUCAAGUCCUUGACCUGGGGUUUGACGGUAGGCACCUCUGACUCACCUGUGCCCCAUAACAUCUUCCUGUGAGCAAAGGGCUCCCCAGAGGCAGGUUACCUGUACCCUGAGAGGAAACAGCAGAAUGUUGCCGUCCACGGCAGGAUAUCACACUCGGCCCCUGGAAGUGGACCUCAGUGGGUGGCCUGCCCUGACAAGGAAGGGCGUGAGGGGGAAGGACACGGCCCAGAGCAAGCCACGUGAGAAAAAUUACAAUAAAGGACAAGUUUGGGACGUCCGCCGGGGACAGGGAGCAAGCAACAUGGGGCCACUGAGGGAAGCAGGUGACAAGGUGGGAGCCAAGGGACAGGGGUCUUGGGGUCUGAAUUUUCCUCAGCAAGCAAGUGGGAGCCAGCAAUGGUUGUAGAGCAGGAGAGUAGUGGGUCUGGACUCAUAGAGCAGCUUGUGGCUCAGGGGAGGUGGGAGGGUUAGCUGGUUCCCCAGAGCCUGUGUGGGUGAUGGGGGGAACGGAACUGAGGCAGCAGACCAGAAGUGCUCCUGCACAUUCCCCUGCCUGCCUGCCUUCUUUUUUCCCUCCUUCCUCUCCCUCCCUCCUAACAAUGCUUUCUGAGCACCCAGGAACCUGCUGGGUGCCGGGAGGACAUGAUGGCCCCUCGAGAAGGCUGCCUGAGGCUCCAGGCAGGCAGAGUGCAGACCCGGCAGCUGCAGCCUCGGCUGUGGGGAGCAGCAACGGCGCCUGAAACCAGGCCGCCCACAGGAUGUUGGUAACCGCAGGGCCCGCACUGGGAUUGCAUGUGGGAGCCACCGCACCUGGCAUGCCAGCUUCCUUCUCAGUCACUCCUGGAAGGUAACUCACUCUCGCCUUGUCCACGAAGAGGCCCCAUUGCCUGCCAGUCUUGCUGCGGCUGCUGUGAGAAGGCAUUUUCCAUCUGUCAGCUGGACCUAGUUUUAUGCUGCCCAGGUCAGCGUCAUCCCUGUGGCAGGGGCCAGGUCUACUCCUGGAUGCCACCACGCCUCUGUGGGUUCCUGCAGUGACUCCUUCAACCCUUUCCCUCUGGAGGCAUCAGCUGCUUCACAGCUUGUUUCAGGACAAGGAAAUGCUGCUUCGUACAGGUUCAGGGCCAGCAUCCAGUCCCCUGGCCGGGUGGCAGUGCAUAAACCGAGCCUCUGCCCAGCGCUGGCCCGUCAGCCCAGGGAGCGUCCAGCAGCCCCAACUGCAUCCAACGUCACCGCAAGGCUCGGAUCCAGUCCCCAGGCCAUGCCUCUCCUGGCCUUGGGCUCACACUGCACUCAAGGCUCCUAACCCAGCUUGUUAACUACUUGGAACCCCUCCACCAACCCAUCUUUACCAGCCUUGAAGUUCUGAGCUUUCAAGUCAUGGCACACAACACAUGCUUCCCCAAACCACAAACCCUGCGAGGCCAGACAGGGGCCCCCGAGUCCCCCACCUUCACCACUCCCUCUCGCUUCCCUAACACCGGGGACGGGGAUCAGCCCAUCAAGGAAGCAGCGCGUGAUGCCUUCCAAAACAGGCCAGAGGCCAGCCUCAGAUUGAUCACAGCUGACCUCAGGCUCUCAAAUUGUUCGCCCCGGGCACCAUAAGCUGUAAGGCCUGGGCCUCUCCGCUGGUUCACGCGCCAGGACAUAGUAUGUGCGCCAGAAACCACAUUUCACCCCCUAAAUGCUGCUCAGCCCUAAGACGGAGCUCACAAACCCCUCUUCUGGGAGGCUGUCCCUGACACGGCCCUUCAGGCCACCGGAGCCUGACUCCCCACCAGGCCCGGAUAGGCCAGCGUCUGUCUCCUCCACUGGACUGGAUGCAUUGGUAAAGGCACAUGCUGU